CCUCUCUCCGACCCGGUCCUGUGUUGAUGGUGCGCCUGCUGCACACUACCCCCAGCGCACGCGCCUCCGCGGAGGCGGAGGCGGGCACGCUGUUGAAUGCAUCUCACCGCACCAGGGGGGCAACCCAGCAGUGCAGAGGAGCAGGGGCUGUGGGGCACGCAGAUCACGCCCUGAAGAGGGCGCGGG
rnacentral:SRP_RNA from 1 species